rnacentral:rRNA from 1 species
GGUGCAUGGUUGUCGUCAGCUCGUGUCGUGAGAUGUUGGGUUAAGUCCCGCAACGAGCGCAACCCUCGACCUUAGUUGCCAGCAUUCAGUUGGGCACUCUAAGGUGACUGCCGGCUAAAAGUCGGAGGAAGUGGGGAUGACGUCAAAUCAUCAUGCCCUUAUGACCUGGGCUACACACGUGCUACAAUGGGCGGUACAAAGGGUCGCGAACCCGCGAGGGGGAGCCAAUCCCAAAAAGCCGCUCUCAGUUCGGAUUGCAGGCUGCAACUCGCCUGCAUGAAGCCGGAAUCGCUAGUAAUCGCAAAUCAGAAUGUCGCGGUGAAUACGUUCCCGGGCCUU